GAUUUCCGUGGAGAGGAACAAUUCUGAGUUUUUACUCAAUUUUUUGAGGCCUUGCCUUUGCAAGGCUACUUAUGGUGUUAUAAAAAAUAGAUUUUGAGCUUGUUAAUACUGAGUUUUGAGUAUAGAUUAUGGAGUGCUUGAGUAGAUGAGUGAAAUUGGGUGCAUAGAAAAAAUGAAUCAAAAAGAAAAAAAAAGUAGUCAAGUAGCGCAGUUCAGUCAGUGAUGCUACCCGGCUAUUCCCCAGACUAAUGUGUACUGCUGUGCGUAAAAGUGAAAAUGAAGUCCGCUCAGUUGUGUCCGAUUCUUAGCGACCCCAUGAACUGCAGACUACCAGACGCCUUCCUUUGCUCGGAGUUUCCCGGCAAGAAUACUGGACAGAUAGUCUUUCCCAGCUGAUGUUUUUCCAAUGAG
ensembl:lncRNA